GAUGAACGCUAGCGGCAGGCUUAACACAUGCAAGUCGAGGGGCAGCAUAAAUAGUAGCAAUACUAUUGGUGGCGACCGGCGGACGGGUGCGUAACGCGUAUACAACCUUCCCUAAACAGGGGGAUAAUCAGGAGAAAAUCGGUCUAAUACUCCAUAACCUCAGCUCAAGCACCUGUUUUGGUUAAAAUUUCUGGAGGUUUAGGUUGGGUAUGCGUAGCAUUAGCUAGUUGGUGAGGUAACGGCUCACCAAGGCGACGAUGCUUAGGGGGACUGAGAGGUUAACCGCGCACACUGGUACUGCGACACGGACCAGACUCCUACGGGAGGCAGCAGUGGGGAAUAUUGGUCAAUGGGCGGAAGCCUGAACCAGCCAUGCCGCGUGCAGGAUGACGGAUCUAUGUGUUGUAAACUGCUUUUGUACGAGGGUAAAGUGGGCUACGUGUAGCCUUUUGAAAGUAUCGUACGAAUAAGGAUCGGCUAACUCCGUGCCAGCCGCCGCCGUAA
rnacentral:rRNA from 1 species